rnacentral:lncRNA from 1 species
GUGGAUUAAUUACUUUCACCACGUGCUUGCCAAAUUUAAAUGAAUUAGCCACGGAAGGUAUGUUUACAUACAAAAUCUUGUUCUAAUUAUAAAUUAAGCAUAAUUUACAUAUCUAAUGUAUAAUCUAAAGUUACAGUAUAUAAAUUUGGGGAAGAGGUACUUUCACUUUCAAACCUCAUUGAAAUAAUUUGUAAAAUAAAAAAAUCAUCUAUCAAACAAUUUAAGUACAACGAUUUCUGUAAAAUACACAUAUUAUUACAAUAUUGACAAUAAUAUAACAAUGCUGUCAAAUAUAAGAAUAUACCUUUUUCAUUCAAUAUUAACAUAUUUUUUUUGUAAUAAUAAUCCUAUUUUAAAUUCUGAUCUAAAAACAUUAUAUAUAUUGAUAUUUUUUGUUCUAUAUUCUGACAAAUAGUGUAUUUUGUGUAUAGUGAACACAAUAAUUGUAAGUAAAAUUAUUUCAUAAUAAUGUUCAUCAUUAAUUUUAUAAAAAAUGUUUAUAGUCUUCUGUAACGUUACAAAAAUUACAAGUAGAGUUAUGGCUUAUUUUCCAUUGUUUUAAUAAAAUUGUGUUUGGAAGAAUAAAGUGUAAUAGUUUCCAUCUGCACAUUUUCAGUUUAUUAUCUUGUAACUAGUUGUGAAUAAAUGUUUGCAUAUAUUGAGCUUCAAUUAGUAUGUUUUCACAUUUUUAAAUUCUAUUCCACUUAUGAUACCCUAUUGGAACUUCUUUAUCAUAUUCUAUCAAAAUUGAAUAAAUUUUCUUCGAAUCUAAUUUUUCUAGAUUAUGUUUGCAAUUAUUUUUUUCACUUAUAUAUAGUGAGUUAUUUGUUAAAACACUAGAUUUUAUUGAACAUUCUUUAUUUAAUAUUUUUAAUCAUUCUUUUGAAAUUCCUUUUCUUAAUCUUGAGAAUUCAGCUAUCCAAUUUGAUUUAUUUGUUAGUUUUAAACAUAUAAAUUUUUCUGAAAAGACUCCAUUUUCAUCGAUAAUAUUAUCUAUAUGAUUGAUAUUGCUGUCUAUCCAAUUUUUGAAAAGAAGUGUUUUCUUAUGAAAUUUAAUUAAUUGAUUCCCCCAAAUGACUUCUUGGCGGAUAAGUCUGUAAUUAUUUGGAUUUUUAGUUUUAUUUAUUUUAUUUUUUUUACCAUACUUUAAUCAUAUCAAGAUAAAAUUCUGAUAGCUCUUUAGUACCCGGUAUAGAGUAUAUAUAAUUAGUACUCAUUCUUAAUAUAAGUAGAUUGCUACCAAAUUUAUUUAGAUAAAAAUUUGGUAUAACCAUCCAAUUAAGAAAUGUAUCAUCAGUUAAUCUUUUUAUCUAACCUAUCUUAAUAGAUUCUAUAUAUUUAUCUAUAUUAACCAUUUUUAAUCCGCCAUAUACUUGGUUAUAGCUUAAUACACUGCGUGUAACUUUUUCUGUCUUAUUGUUCCAUAAAAAUUCAUAAAUGAUUUUUUUUAAUUUGUCUAAAUAUUCUUUGCCAAAGGUUGAGACUGUAGCCAAAUAAGUGAUUAUAGGAAUAAUUUAAGAUUAAAUAACCUGUUUUCUUCCUAUUAUGGUUAAGUUUCUUGUUUUCCAGUUUGAUAUAAUUUUUACAGACUUUUCUAGCUGUUUAUCAAAAUUUAGUUUUUGACACUCUUCUGUGUUAUGCCCAAAAUAUAUCCCUAGACUUUUAAUUGGUUUAUCUGUAAAGUUAAUAUUUUCAUAUUUUUCUUUACACUGUUAUUGUUUCCCUAGACAAAUACCCUCUGUUUUAGAUCUGUUAAGUUUUUAUCCUCAAAGUGAUCCAAAUUUUUCAAUCAUGUUAAGAGCUUUUGAAUAUCUUGUUUUAAUUGGAGAAAAAGAGUGGUGUCAUCUGCUAACUGACUUAUUUUAAAAGUAUGUUUUUUUCCCAUAUAUCUUGAUUUCUAAUUCUAUAAGGUUAUGGUCUUGCCUAAUUUUACAAGCAAGAAUCUCAACAGCAAUAACAAAAAUUAUCGCACUGCACGGGCAGCCUUGACGUAUUCCACGAUAUAUACUCAUGGGUUUUGAAAUCCACCCAUUGUUUAAAACUGAACUUUUUAUGUCAGUAUAUAAGAGUUGUAUCCAUCUCAUCAUAGAAUUUUUAAAUCCAAAUUAGUGUAAAGCAAAGAACAUAAAGUCCCAUUCUAAUGAAUUAUAAUGCUUUCGAAAAAUCUAAAAAUAGUAAGGCACCCUCUAUAUUGUCUGCAUAAUCUAUGACUUGUUGCUAUUUACCAAUUUUGUUUCCAUUUUCAAUAUUAAGUAUUUCUGUAGGAUGUGUAUGUAUCACCCCUUCUUUGUCUCUGAGCGCUGUAAUGGUUUUUCUUGUUUGCCUAGCUUUUUUCUAGUCCCAAGAAGAAUUUAGUGUUUUUUUCGCCUUCUUCUACCCAUUUAAUUCUGGAUCUUAUUUGUGCUCCUUUUGUUUUUGAAUCAUAUAAUUUACCAAGUUUUUCUUCUAUAAUAUUAAUUUCCUCUUUAAGAGAGUUAAUAUCAUCUAUUUUACAUUUUUUGUUUAUACCCUUAUUUAAUUUCUUCAAUUUGUUUUCUAAAAUAUGUAUAUCUUUAACAUUAUUUUGUGCUUUUCUUUUACAGAAUGCUAUGGUAUGGUCUCUUACCUCGGUUUUAAAAAGAUCCCACUUGACCCCAAUAUCAUUGGUGAGUAAAAUUUUCUUUUCAUAUUGUUUGAUCAGAAUUUUAAUAAGGUUUUGAUAUUCUUCAUUUUCUAAAAUACUAUUAUUAAUUUUAAAGUAUCCUUUACCUUUUUGGUCUGAUCGACCUUUUAUUUUUAUAGAAAUUGCCUGAUGGUCUGUAUGAGUUAUAAUAGCUGGCCUAAUAUCAGUAGAUUCUAUUUUAGUUCUUAUUUCAGGACAGGUUAAGAAAAAAUCUAUUCUAGAUGCUUCAUUUAAAUUAUUUUUACGUCGCCAAGUGAAUUGUAUUUCCUUGCCAUGAAUCUCUCUCCAAAUAUCACUUAGCUUUUGAGUUUUAAUUAAAGAUUUAAGGCUAAAAACUGGUUUUGUUUGUUUUAAUUUUUGUGUUGACACUUUAUUUUUUUUUAUCUAUUUUUGUUAAAGUAUCAUUCAUAUCUCCUCCAAUUAUAACCAUUCCUAAACUAUUUUUUUGUAAUUAUUUCUUUAACUUUUUUGAAGAAAAUAUUUCUGUUUUUAGGUAUAUUUGGUGCAUAGACAUUUACUAAAGUGUAAAUACUGUCUUCGAUUUCAAUAUUUAUUAAGAGUAGCCUGCCCUCUUGGUCUUUGAAUAUAUUUAUAAAUUUGCAUUCUAAAUCAUUAUUAAUAAAAAUUGAAACUCCUCUGGACUGUGAGGUUCCAAAGCUAUGAUAUUGUUGACCUUUAAUUUCAGAAUUUAAGUCUUUCUCUAAAUCUUCAGUGAAAUGACUUUCCUGAACAAACAAAAUAUUACAUUUUUGAUAUUUCAUCCACAAGUAUAAUCUAUGUCUUUUAUCUUUUACUCUGAGACCUUGACAAUUUAAAGAACAUAUGUGAAUUGUUUUUGUCAUAAGUCUUUUGUUUUUAGAAUUUUAUUUACUUGAAUGUUUAUUGAGCCUAAACAAUUACAUUCUUGAAUUCUCAUAGUUAUUAUUUUUUUAAAAGUAUACACAUAUUUCAAAAAUAUACAAUAUUCAUUUUUCAUUAAUACACAAGUUAAAAAUAAUAAUACAAGCCAGAGAUUUACAAAUAAAUUUGUUACAGAACAUUUGAUCAAAAUCAAAUACACCUCAUCAGAGAAAUAUGUGUCUCUAAAAAUCAUGCUGUGACAUGUCAAUGACAAUAUAAUAAAACAGUUGAUUUCUUUCAUUUUGUAACACCUGUUGUUUUCUAUUUUUAGACACCAGACAACGUCGGUGUAUGCAUGGUUGGAGAUACAAGAGUGAUUGGAUCUUAUCGUGUGAAUAUUGGAAUAGUGAUUUCGUAAAACUUAGUGUUCUAUUAAAGGAAAUUGAGUAGUGCGUAUAAAGAAUUGAAAUGUACUGAACAUGAAAAAAUAGAAGGAUGUAAUAGCAUAGUACUGAACAAAAGGAAAAUAGACAUUGACAACUGUACGAAUAAAACGAUGUGAGCUUUUUUGUGUAAUAAAUUGUUGAGUUCAAUAUCUGGGACAUAAACAAGAAUUUACCUGUUUUGAAACAGAAUAGGUACUAUUAAUAGAUUUACUUUUUCCAAGAUUUCUAUUCUCUUUUUCUUGUGAAUAAUGUUUGUAAAAUGUUCAAAUA